CCUACGGGUGGCUGCAGUGGGGGAUAUUGCACAAUGGGGGAAACCCUGAUGCAGCGACGCCGCGUGUGGGAAGACGGUCCUCUGGAUUGUAAACCACUGUCCCCAGGGACGAAAAUGACGGUACCUGGGGAGGAAGCUCCGGCUAACUACGUGCCAGCAGCCGCGGUAAUACGUAGGGAGCGAGCGUUGUCCGGAAGUACUGGGUGUAAAGGGAGCGUAGGCGGGGAUGCAAGUUAGGUGUAAAAACUACCGGCUCAACUGGUAGUCGCACUCAAAACUGCAUCUCUUGAGUGAAGUAGAGGCAGGCGGAAUUCCUAGUGUAGCGGUGAAAUGCGUAGAUAUUAGGAGGAACACCAGUGGCGAAGGCGGCCUGCUGGGCUUUUACUGACGCUGAGGCUCGAAAGUGUGGGGAGCAAACAGGAUUAGAUACCCCGGUAGUC
rnacentral:rRNA from 1 species